rnacentral:rRNA from 1 species
AAAUUGAAGAGUUUGAUCAUGGCUCAGAUUGAACGCUGGCGGCAGGCCUAACACAUGCAAGUCGAACGGUAGCACAGAGAGCUUGCUCUCGGGUGACGAGUGGCGGACGGGUGAGUAAUGUCUGGGAAACUGCCUGAUGGAGGGGGAUAACUACUGGAAACGGUAGCUAAUACCGCAUAACGUCGCAAGACCAAAGAGGGGGACCUUCGGGCCUCUUGCCAUCAGAUGUGCCCAGAUGGGAUUAGCUAGUAGGUGGGGUAACGGCUCACCUAGGCGACGAUCCCUAGCUGGUCUGAGAGGAUGACCAGCCACACUGGAACUGAGACACGGUCCAGACUCCUACGGGAGGCAGCAGUGGGGAAUAUUGCACAAUGGGCGCAAGCCUGAUGCAGCCAUGCCGCGUGUAUGAAGAAGGCCUUCGGGUUGUAAAGUACUUUCAGCGGGGAGGAAGGUGUUGCGGUUAAUAACCGCAGCAAUUGACGUUACCCGCAGAAGAAGCACCGGCUAACUCCGUGCCAGCAGCCGCGGUAAUACGGAGGGUGCAAGCGUUAAUCGGAAUUACUGGGCGUAAAGCGCACGCAGGCGGUCUGUCAAGUCGGAUGUGAAAUCCCCGGGCUCAACCUGGGAACUGCAUUCGAAACUGGCAGGCUAGAGUCUUGUAGAGGGGGUAGAAUUCCAGGUGUAGCGGUGAAAUGCGUAGAGAUCUGGAGGAAUACCGGUGGCGAAGGCGGCCCCCUGGACAAAGACUGACGCUCAGGUGCGAAAGCGUGGGGAGCAAACAGGAUUAGAUACCCUGGUAGUCCACGCCGUAAACGAUGUCGACUUGGAGGUUGUGCCCUUGAGGCGUGGCUUCCGGAGCUAACGCGUUAAGUCGACCGCCUGGGGAGUACGGCCGCAAGGUUAAAACUCAAAUGAAUUGACGGGGGCCCGCACAAGCGGUGGAGCAUGUGGUUUAAUUCGAUGCAACGCGAAGAACCUUACCUACUCUUGACAUCCAGAGAACUUUCCAGAGAUGGAUUGGUGCCUUCGGGAACUCUGAGACAGGUGCUGCAUGGCUGUCGUCAGCUCGUGUUGUGAAAUGUUGGGUUAAGUCCCGCAACGAGCGCAACCCUUAUCCUUUGUUGCCAGCGGUCCGGCCGGGAACUCAAAGGAGACUGCCAGUGAUAAACUGGAGGAAGGUGGGGAUGACGUCAAGUCAUCAUGGCCCUUACGAGUAGGGCUACACACGUGCUACAAUGGCGCAUACAAAGAGAAGCGAACUCGCGAGAGCAAGCGGACCUCAUAAAGUGCGUCGUAGUCCGGAUUGGAGUCUGCAACUCGACUCCAUGAAGUCGGAAUCGCUAGUAAUCGUAGAUCAGAAUGCUACGGUGAAUACGUUCCCGGGCCUUGUACACACCGCCCGUCACACCAUGGGAGUGGGUUGCAAAAGAAGUAGGUAGCUUAACCUUCGGGAGGGCGCUUACCACUUUGUGAUUCAUGACUGGGGUGAAGUCGUAACAAGGUAACCGUAGGGGAACCUGCGGUUGGAUCACCUCCUUACCUUAAAGAA